rnacentral:rRNA from 1 species
UACGAAGGGGGCUAGCGUUGCUCGGAAUCACUGGGCGUAAAGGGUGCGUAGGCGGGUCUUAAGUCAGGGGUGAAAUCCAUGGAGCUCAACUCCAGAACUGCCCUUGAUACUGAAGAUCUUGAGUUCGGGAGAGGUGAGUGGAACUGCGAGUGUAGAGGUGAAAUUCGUAGAUAUUCGCAAGAACACCAGUGGCGAAGGCGGCUCACUGGCCCGAUACUGACGCUGAGGCACGGAAAGCGUGGGGAGCAAACAGG